UACGUAAGGACCGAGCGUUGUCCGGAAUCAUUGGGCGUAAAGGGGACGUAGGCGGUUAGAAAAGUUAGAAGUGAAAGCCUAUAGCUCAACUAUAGUAAGCAUUUAAAACUGUUUAACUUGAGAGAUGGAAGGGAAAGUGGAAUUCCUAGUGUAGCGGUGAAAUGCGUAGAUAUUAGGAGGAAUACUGGUGGCGAAAGCGACUUACUGGCCAAUAUCUGACGCUGAGGUACGAAAGCGUGGGUAGCAAACAGG
rnacentral:rRNA from 1 species